UCACUGUGAUGAUGGUCUUCCAACAUUCGCAGUUUCCACCAGAAGGGGUUUUCCUUAGUGCUGGGUAAACCUUCCUUGGAUGUCUGAGUGA
ensembl:snoRNA SNORD14 Small nucleolar RNA SNORD14